AGAAUCAACGCUGGCGGCGUGCCUAACACAUGCAAGUCGAACGAGAAAGUGGGAGCAAUCCCACGAGUAAAGUGGCGCACGGGUGAGUAACACGUGACUAACCUACCCUUGAGUGGGGGAUAACCUAGGGAAACCUGGGCUAAUACCGCAUAAUACCUACGGGUCAAAGGAGCAAUUCGCUUUAGGAGGGGGUCGCGGCAGAUUAGUUAGUUGGCGGGGUAAUGGCCCACCAAGACAGUGAUCUGUAUCCGGCCUGAGAGGGCGCACGGACACACUGGAACUGAAACACGGUCCAGACUCCUACGGGAGGCAGCAGUGGGGAAUUUGCGCAAUGGGGGAAACCCUGACGCAGCAACGCCGCGUGGAGGAUGAAGCCCCUUGGGGGCGUAAACUCCUUUCGAUCGGGAAGAUAAUGACGGUACCGGAAGAAGAACGCCCCGGCUAACUUCGUGCCAGCAGCCGC
rnacentral:rRNA from 1 species